GGCUCGGCCCUGCGCGACGAAUUUUUUGUGAACCCCGUCAGGUCCGGAAGGAAGCAGCGGUAACAAUAAGAUGAGUGCGCCGCAGGUUCCCCGAGCCUC
rnacentral:SRP_RNA from 1 species